rnacentral:rRNA from 1 species
AUUGAACGCUGGCGGCAUGCCUUACACAUGCAAGUCGAACGGCAGCAUGAUCUAGCUUGCUAGAUUGAUGGCGAGUGGCGAACGUGUGAGUAAUACAUCGGAACGUGCCCUGUAGUGGGGGAUAACUAGUCGAAAGAUUAGCUAAUACCGCAUACGACCUGAGGGUGAAAGUGGGGGACCGCAAGGCCUCAUGCUAUAGGAGCGGCCGAUGUCUGAUUAGCUAGUUGGUGGGGUAAAGGCCCACCAAGGCGACGAUCAGUAGCUGGUCUGAGAGGACGAUCAGCCACACUGGGACUGAGACACGGCCCAGACUCCUACGGGAGGCAGCAGUGGGGAAUUUUGGACAAUGGGGGCAACCCUGAUCCAGCAAUGCCGCGUGUGUGAAGAAGGCCUUCGGGUUGUAAAGCACUUUUGUCCGGAAAGAAAUCGCACUUACUAAUAUUAGGUGUGGAUGACGGUACCGGAAGAAUAAGGACCGGCUAACUACGUG